rnacentral:rRNA from 1 species
UACGUAGGGUGCAAGCGUUAAUCGGAAUUACUGGGCGUAAAGCGUGCGCAGGCGGUUUUGUAAGACUGUCGUGAAAGCCCCGGGCUUAACCUGGGAAUGGCCGUUGAAACUGGCGAACUGGAGUGUGGCAGAGGGGGGUGGAAUUCCGCGUGUAGCAGUGAAAUGCGUAGAGAUGCGGAGGAACACCGAUGGCGAAGGCAGCCCCCUGGGCUGACACUGACGCUCAGGCACGAAAGCGUGGGGAGCAAACAGG